AUUCUUUUUACAGCGCAUUCAAUGGGAAGGAUUCCCAAAUCAUCAAUUCCAACCAAAUAUCACAGCAAGGUCUAACGGAGUCACUCUUUUCAGCAGCAUCUCAGUGUCGUCAGUCUUUCACCGUGCAAGACAUUGCUGUCUAAGCCAGAAUAUACUGCCCAUCUAUGAUUGCUAAGAGGGCUGUCAAGAGUCAACUGCAUUGCUGUUGGGUUGGAGUCACAUGUAGGCCAGACCAGGCAAUUAGACAGUAAGUUCAAAUCAAAUGUGAGAUCAAGAGCUGCCAGCAAUGCUCGAUUCUCAGGACCUGAGUAUCACCAGCCUUGGAACAAGGAAGGAAAAAGCAUCGUUCACAGUGAAGAGAAACUGUACAGGUGGUCUGUGUGUGGACAAGGCUUCAGUCAAUCGUCUGGACUGUCGAUAUGUAAAUGCAAUCACAAUAAGGAAACAACAAUUGUGCUAAGCAGCACUUGCUUUGCAAUAUCAUGCUCAUAAAUCUCAGUUUCAGUUAAGCAAGAUUCACUCAACUCCAGAUCUCUUUACAUUCUUGGUGCAAACAUGGACCUAACAGCUAAAUUCCAGAGCUGAGAGUGACUAUCCUCUACAUUAAGGCUCCAUCUGACAGACUAGUGUAUCAGUGAAUCACAAAGCGAGAGUCAAUGGGCAUCAGAAAAUAUUAUUCGUUCGCAAUGUGGGGUUUUUACAAAUAGAGUCUUCAGACCUGAGUAGAUCGUAAGAAUAUGACUUUACUCAAUCUCAUAGGACAUAUCUGUGGAAGAGGUCUGUAAGUCUUGCUUGGAGACACUCAGCCAUUUUCAGCUGAAAACAGCAUAUUAAUACAUUUUUGUGUCACAACAGCGACAUUCAGUAUUGAUAUAAAAUAAGAGGUAACACAGUGUGGAGCUGGAUGAACACAGCAAGCCAGGCAGCAUCAGAGGAGUAGGAAAGUUGGUGUUUCCGGUUGGGACCCUUCAGAACAUUUCUGAAGAAGGGUCCUGACCUGAAACGUCAACUUUCCUGCUCCUCUGAUGCUGCCUGGCCUGCUGUGCUCCUCCAGUUCCACACUGUGUUAUCUCCGACUCCAGCAGCGGCAGUUCUUACUAACUCUUGGUGUAAAAUAAACACUUUUUGCAGUAAAUGAUUGAGAUUAACAAGAUACUGUUCUCUAAUUUCAAAAGGAAUUACACUUCUGUAUAAUCUUCAGAGCUUACCUGUCCCCACCACUUGCUCUCAGUACAUGCCUUCCCUUUUAGAGUAACACCUCUGUGACUAUCUUAAAUUAUACAGAUGAUCUCUGAAGCCUCAGUGACUGCUGACUGUUCACUGUUAUGGAUAUACCGUUAAACUACCUGAGCUACAAUAAUAAUGUCCUUUAUUUGGAUGUAUUUCAUUCAGCCCUACUCUGUAUUACUCAUCCAAGCUUAUUUACUCCUGUGUGGCAUAUAAUACAGUGUUUCUCUCUACUA